rnacentral:rRNA from 1 species
GAUGAACGCUGGCGGCGUGCCUAAUACAUGCAAGUCGAGCGAACAGACGAGGAGCUUGCUCCUCUGACGUUAGCGGCGGACGGGUGAGUAACACGUGGAUAACCUACCUAUAAGACUGGGAUAACUUCGGGAAACCGGAGCUAAUACCGGAUAAUAUAUUGAACCGCAUGGUUCAAUAGUGAAAGACGGUUUUGCUGUCACUUAUAGAUGGAUCCGCGCCGCAUUAGCUAGUUGGUAAGGUAACGGCUUACCAAGGCAACGAUGCGUAGCCGACCUGAGAGGGCGAUCGGCCACACUGGAACUGAGACACGGUCCAGACUCCUACGGGAGGCAGCAGUAGGGAAUCUUCCGCAAUGGGCGAAAGCCUGACGGAGCAACGCCGCGUGAGUGAUGAAGGUCUUCGGAUCGUAAAACUCUGUUAUUAGGGAAGAACAAAUGUGUAAGUAACUAUGCACGUCUUGACGGUACCUAAUCAGAAAACCACGGCUAACUACGU